AGUGAUUUAGUGACAUAUGGAUCUUAUCAUUUGCAUCACGGUCAUGUGUUACGCAAAUAUGGAAUAAUUCUAUCAAGUUACCAUUGGACCCGGACCUGCCAAAGGGGAACCCGCUUACCUAUCUCCUAAAUCACACUAAAAACAAGAUGUGUUUGUAUACUUUCGGAUUCAUUUCAUUGGCCUCCGGAUGAUGCAGCCCAAGUACUCACUUUCUAUCCUUAUGGUUCACGUCAAGUGUUUGUUUGUCAUUCAGAAGUUUAUUUUUGUGGUUCGAUUAUAUACAUUACAAUUAAAUUCAUUGUAACUUAUA